rnacentral:rRNA from 1 species
CCUACGGGAGGCAGCAGUGGGGGAUAUUGGACAAUGGGGGAAACCCUGAUCCAGCGACGCCGCGUGAGUGAAGAAGUAUUUCGGUAUGUAAAGCUCUAUCAGCAGGGAAGAAAGAAAUGACGGUACCUGAGUAAGAAGCCCAGGCUAACUACGUGCCAGCAGCCGCGGUAAUACGUAGGGGGCAAGCGUUAUCCGGAAUUACUGGGUGUAAAGGGAGCGUAGACGGUAAUGCAAGUCUGGAGUGAAAGGAGGGGGCCCACUCCCCGGACUGCUCUGGAAACUGUGUAACUGGAGUGCAGGAGAGGCAGGAGGAAUAACUAGUGUAGCGGUGAAGUGCGUAGAUAUUAGGAGGAACACCAG